CGUCACACUAUCAUUAACUGAAUCCAUAGGUUAAUGAGGCGAACCGGGGGAACUGAAACAUCUAAGUACCCCGAGGAAAAGAAAUCAACCGAGAUUCCCCCAGUAGCGGCGAGCGAACGGGGAGGAGCCCAGAGCCUGAAUCAGCAUGUGUGUUAGUGGAAGCGUCUGGAAAGGCGCGCGAUACAGGGUGACAGCCCCGUACACAAAAGCGCAUGUGCUGUGAGCUCGAUGAGUAGGGCGGGACACGUGGUAUCCUGUCUGAAUAUGGGGGGACCAUCCUCCAAGGCUAAAUACUCCUGACUGACCGAUAGUGAACCAGUACCGUGAGGGAAAGGCGAAAAGAACCCCGGCGAGGGGAGUGAAAAAGAACCUGAAACCGUGUACGUACAAGCAGUGGGAGCACCCUUUGGGUGUGACUGCGUACCUUUUGUAUAAUGGGUCAGCGACUUAUAUUCUGUAGCAAGGUUAACCGAAUAGGGGAGCCGGAGGGAAACCGAGUCUUAACCGGGCGUUAAGUUGCAGGGUAUAGACCCGAAACCCGGUGAUCUAGCCAUGGGCAGGUUGAAGGUUGGGUAACACUAACUGGAGGACCGAACCGACUAAUGUUGAAAAAUUAGCGGAUGACCUGUGGCUGGGGGUGAAAGGCCAAUCAAACCGGGAGAUAGCUGGUUCUCCCCGAAAGCUAUUUAGGUAGCGCCUCGUGAAUUCAUCUCCGGGGGUAGAGCACUGUUUCGGCUAGGGGGCCAUCCCGGCUUACCAACCCGAUGCAAACUGCGAAUACCGGAGAAUGUUAUCACGGGAGACACACGGCGGGUGCUAACGUCCGUCGUGAAGAGGGAAACAACCCAGACCGCCAGCUAAGGUCCCAAAGUCAUGGUUAAGUGGGAAACGAUGUGGGAAGGCCCAGACAGCCAGGAUGUUGGCUUAGAAGCAGCCAUCAUUUAAAGAAAGCGUAAUAGCUCACUGGUCGAGUCGGCCUGCGCGGAAGAUGUAACGGGGCUAAACCAUGCACCGAAGCUGCGGCAGCGACACUGUGUGUUGUUGGGUAGGGGAGCGUUCUGUAAGCCUGUGAAGGUGUGUCGUGAGGCAUGCUGGAGGUAUCAGAAGUGCGAAUGCUGACAUAAGUAACGAUAAAGCGGGUGAAAAGCCCGCUCGCCGGAAGACCAAGGGUUCCUGUCCAACGUUAAUCGGGGCAGGGUGAGUCGACCCCUAAGGCGAGGCCGAAAGGCGUAGUCGAUGGGAAACGGGUUAAUAUUCCCGUACUUGGUGUUACUGCGAAGGGGGGACGGAGAAGGCUAUGUUGGCCGGGCGACGGUUGUCCCGGUUUAAGCGUGUAGGUGUGUGUUCCAGGUAAAUCCGGUUCACUUUAACACUGAGGCGUGACGACGAGGCACUACGGUGCUGAAGCAACAAAUGCCCUGCUUCCAGGAAAAGCCUCUAAGCAUCAGGUAACAUCAAAUCGUACCCCAAACCGACACAGGUGGUCAGGUAGAGAAUACCAAGGCGCUUGAGAGAACUCGGGUGAAGGAACUAGGCAAAAUGGUGCCGUAACUUCGGGAGAAGGCACGCUGACACGUAGGUGAAGUGAUUUACUCAUGGAGCUGAAGUCAGUCGAAGAUACCAGCUGGCUGCAACUGUUUAUUAAAAACACAGCACUGUGCAAACACGAAAGUGGACGUAUACGGUGUGACGCCUGCCCGGUGCCGGAAGGUUAAUUGAUGGGGUCAGCGCAAGCGAAGCUCCUGAUCGAAGCCCCGGUAAACGGCGGCCGUAACUAUAACGGUCCUAAGGUAGCGAAAUUCCUUGUCGGGUAAGUUCCGACCUGCACGAAUGGCGUAAUGAUGGCCAGGCUGUCUCCACCCGAGACUCAGUGAAAUUGAACUCGCUGUGAAGAUGCAGUGUACCCGCGGCAAGACGGAAAGACCCCGUGAACCUUUACUAUAGCUUGACACUGAACAUUGAGCCUUGAUGUGUAGGAUAGGUGGGAGGCUUUGAAGUGUGGACGCCAGUCUGCAUGGAGCCGACCUUGAAAUACCACCCUUUAAUGUUUGAUGUUCUAACGUGGACCCGUUACCCGGGUUGCGGACAGUGUCUGGUGGGUAGUUUGACUGGGGCGGUCUCCUCCUAAAGAGUAACGGAGGAGCACGAAGGUUGGCUAAUCCUGGUCGGACAUCAGGAGGUUAGUGCAAUGGCAUAAGCCAGCUUGACUGCGAGCGUGACGGCGCGAGCAGGUGCGAAAGCAGGUCAUAGUGAUCCGGUGGUUCUGAAUGGAAGGGCCAUCGCUCAACGGAUAAAAGGUACUCCGGGGAUAACAGGCUGAUACCGCCCAAGAGUUCAUAUCGACGGCGGUGUUUGGCACCUCGAUGUCGGCUCAUCACAUCCUGGGGCUGAAGUAGGUCCCAAGGGUAUGGCUGUUCGCCAUUUAAAGUGGUACGCGAGCUGGGUUUAGAACGUCGUGAGACAGUUCGGUCCCUAUCUGCCGUGGGCGCUGGAGAACUGAGGGGGGCUGCUCCUAGUACGAGAGGACCGGAGUGGACGCAUCACUGGUGUUCGGGUUGUCAUGCCAAUGGCACUGCCCGGUAGCUAAAUGCGGAAGAGAUAAGUGCUGAAAGCAUCUAAGCACGAAACUUGCCCCGA
rnacentral:rRNA from 3 species